UUUGUUUUCCUGCUGGCUGCUACUUGCCUUAUUGCCUGCCGAUCUUGGGAUUCAUCAGCCUCCCGCAGCCUGCUGUCUGACCUGCUGAUCUUGGGUUUGUCAGCCCCUGCAGCUACGGAAGUCUAGAGAAGCCUCGCCUGACCCGCAGAGUUGGGACUUGCCAGCCUCCACAACCACGUGGUUCCUCCAGGAGUCGGACACCAUCUUGCAGACCCAGCAGAGCCAUGGCUGACAGCACACUGGUGCUCACCUACCCACGCCGAGGGAACCACUACUACACAUUCACCAAUCUUAUAACCAUCUCACGUCGCUUCAAGCAGCACUACAAACCCAUGAUUGUCUGGAUACUGCAGGUGUAUGACAGGGGGGGCCAGGCCCUGUCACUGAACUCGGAGGAACUGGUGAUCCUGGGCAGGCUGACUGGUGAUACCCUCUUCAACUGCUACUGCCAGACCCUGCAGGGAGGAUGCCAACUGCUCCUCACCUGGCUGGUGAGGGCCUGGUGCCUGCGAGAUGCUCCCAUGGCCCUGGGCCACCCUGGAGGAAGGCAUAUAGCAGGUGCAUGAGCUGGGCGUGUUCAGCUGGAUCUACUAUGACCCAUGACAGAUGCACCCGAGGAGCUGCAUCCAUUGCUGGUUGCCAUGGUGGUCAAGGGCCAGACGGUGCUAGAGGCAGUGAAGGCGAUCUAGACCUUGGCCGACAUCGGCCUGCUGAAGCGCGAGAGCCAGCCCUGCUUCCAGGCCCUGCUGGUACCAAAGUCCACACGCACAGACGUGCUGGGCUGGCUGCGCGGCCACGGUGUGCUCCGGGAGAAGGUGGAGAAGCAGUCCACCGAGGCAUUGCUGGAGAUGUGUACCAGGCAGGCCAAGCUUAGCUGCAGCCACCCUGCCCAUGGGCUGCAUGAGGAGCAGUCCCUGCCACCGCCCUACGGCGACGGAGGCAGAGAGGAGCCACCAAAGCACCAUGGCUAGGCCUCCCUCUGCUUGGGCACACAGAGACUACCUAGCUUGGCCCCUCAAGCUGGCACUUGGGGGACAGGGCCAAGGGAGACUGAUGAUACUCAGGGGAGAUGGGACAGGCAGUAUACGUAGGGUGGGCGCGAGUCCCUUCCUGUGCAUCCGUAGCCACGAGACGGGCCAGAGGCCCUCCACAGGAGCAGGCCACACCCUGACAGCUCAGAAGAGAAGAGUGUCCUCACCCCACUUCAGUGUCCUGAAGGCAUCACUGGCCAGAGCUUGAUAGCAGAGGGCAGCAGGCAAGAGUCCUUGGGGGCAAGGUGUGUGGUCAGUUCACUUCUGCCUGUGCAGCAAAGGGGGUGGGCACAACAGUGCCCCUACUUCUCUGCCACCUGGCCCUGAAGUACUGCAGGCCAAGCGGGGAGACCCUUGAAGUACUCACUUUUUCUGUAAGGUUUUUUAAAAUACAACGUUUUUACGUAGUACCUUAUUUUAAGGAUUAUAGGAUAAGCAAUUUCACCCCCACCAUCUGUAGCACUAUAGUAUGUGUCCCAUGGGGAACUGACCCCUUCCUGGUGUCGUUUAACUCAGUGAUAGAAUUAAUUAGCCAAUGCACAUUAUAAAGUGUAAUCUUAACAUGUGGGGUAGAAGGAGUAUUUCUUUGGCACCAUGAGGCCAGAAACAACGGCCUCAACACAGGAUGGUCUUAAGCUGCAACUAGGUUUGAAGCCUGCCUUUGCCUUCUACAAGAGACAAGUUGGCUUCCUAUGAAAGUUUUUUUAAUUGCUUGUGACAGAGUAUAGACACCUGCGUCUUAGCUCAUGUAAAUAAUCUUGCUAUCUUAACUGAAUCCCUAUUCAUUCCCAUCUAGCCAGAUGGGCAGUGUUCACAUUUCGAAAGGUUUCCAGUUAGAACUGAUUUAGUCUCCUCCCUAACCAAAUGGUCAGCUUUUACAUUUCAAGAACUCCAGCUAGGGUUGAACCGGCAGGCCUACAGUCAGUCAUUAGACCGCCUACAUCAGGAAUGUUUCCAUGGCUGGCUUUAGAAAAAAUUGCUUUAAUCCAUUUGUAUUGGGAAAUAAGAGGUUGAUGUUAGGCUAGAAAUAGAUGUUUGGAAAGUUUGUAGCUUGACAACCCCUUGUAACUUUUUCCUUCCUUCCUUCCCCUGCACCCUCUGGAUGUGAAACCAUUUUGCUUUUGUUUGCUCUGCUUAAUAAAUACCUCAUUGCUCUCCCUGCAAGGCAGAGCACGUCCUGCCUCUUGAGUGCCCAUGUGGUUCUCCAUUUUGCAAAAUGAUCUUAUUUUUUCAUUCAAUAAAAUUCUUAUGAUUCCUAGUGGAGCAUCAGUCUAGUGUUUUCACUAGGACAAAGCCUUCCUCUUUCCUCCUCCUCCUUUUCACGUGCAUUU